rnacentral:rRNA from 1 species
UACGUAGGGUGCAAGCGUUGUCCGGAAUUAUUGGGCGUAAAGAGCUCGUAGGCGGUCUGUCGCGUCUGCUGUGAAAACUCAGGGCUUAACCCUGAGCUUGCAGUGGGUACGGGCAGACUAGAGUGCGGUAGGGGGAGACUGGAAUUCCUGGCGUAGCGGUGAAAUGCGCAGAUAUCAGGAGGAACACCGGUGGCGAAGGCGGGUCUCUGGGCCGUAACUGACGCUG